UACGGAGGGGGCGAGCGUUAUUCGGAAUUAUUGGGCGUAAAGGGCGCGUAGGCGGCUAGAUGUGUCAAAGGUGAAAUCCCUCGGCUCAACUGAGGAACUGCCUUUGAAACUGUCUGGCUUGAGGCCGGGAGAGGGUAGCGGAAUUCCCAGUGUAGCGGUGAAAUACGUAGAUAUUGGGAGGAACACCAGUGGCGAAGGCGGCUACCUGGACCGGUUCUGACGCUGAGGCGCGAAAGCGUGGGUAGCAAACAGG
rnacentral:rRNA from 1 species